GUAGGUGGCAAGCGUUGUCCGGGAAUUAUUGGGGCGUAAAGCGCGCGCAGGCCGGGUUUUUUAAGUCUGAUGUGAAAGCCCACGGGCUCAACCGUGGAGGGUCAUUGGAAACUGGAGAACUUGAGUACAGAAGAGGAAAGCGGAAUUCCACGUGUAGCGGUGAAAUGCGUAGAGAUGCGGAGGAACACCAGUGGCGAAGGCGGCUUUCUGGUCUGUAACUGACGCUGAGGCGCGAAAGCGUGGGGAGCAAACAGGAUUAGAUACCCUGGUAGUCCACGCCGUAAACGAUGAGUGCUAAGUGUUAGGGGGUUUCCGCCCCUUAGUGCUGCAGCUAACGCAUUAAGCACUCCGCCUGGGGAGUACGGCCGCAAAGGCUGA
rnacentral:rRNA from 1 species